rnacentral:sRNA from 1 species
UAAUUCCGAAGUGAUGAUGCAAUUUAAC